UACGGGGGGGGCAAGCGUUGUUCGGAAUUACUGGGCGUAAAGGGCUCGUAGGCGGCCAACUAAGUCAGACGUGAAAUCCCUCGGCUUAACCGGGGAACUGCGUCUGAUACUGGAUGGCUUGAGUGUGGGAGAGGGAUGCGGAAUUCCAGGUGUAGCGGUGAAAUGCGCAGAUAUCAGGAGGAACACCCGUGGCGAAAGCGGCUCUCUGGGACGGUACUGACGCUGAGACGCGAAAGCGUGGGGAGCAAACAGG
rnacentral:rRNA from 1 species